rnacentral:rRNA from 1 species
CAUUAUGCCUGGAAUGGUUUAUGUUUCAAAUAAUUUAUUGCCGUAGGAUGGGACUGCGGCCUAUCAGUUUGUUGGUGAGGUAAUGGCCCACCAAGACUAUUACAGGUACGGGCUCUGAGAGGAGUAGCCCGGAGAUGGGUACUGGGACACGGACCCAGGCCCUAUGGGGCGCAGCAGGCGAGAAAACUUUGCAAUGUGCGAAAGCACGACAAGGUUAAUCCGAGUGGUUUCUGCUAAAGGAACCUUUUGUCAGUCCUAGAAACACUGAUGAAUAAGGGGUGGGCAAGUUCUGGUGUCAGCCGCCGCGGUAAAACCAGCACCUCAAGUGGUCAGGAUGAUUAUUGGGCCUAAAGCAUCCGUAGCCUGCUUUGUAAGUUUUCGGUUAAAUCCAUACGCUCAACGUAUGGGCUGCCGGGAAUACUGCAAAGCUAGGGAGUGGGAGAGGUAGACGGUACUCGGUAGGAAGGGGUAAAAUCCUUUGAUCUAUUGAUGACCACCUGUGGCGAAGGCGGUCUACCAGAACACGUCCGACGGUGAGGGAUGAAAGCUGGGGGAGCAAACCGGAUUAGAUACCC